rnacentral:snRNA from 1 species
AUCGCUUCUCGGCCUUUUGGCUAAGAUCAAGUGUAGAAAAUCUGGACAUGUUAUAAAUACUAAAUUCAAUUUCUAAUAAAUCCUUC